rnacentral:rRNA from 1 species
UACCAGCACCCCGAGUGGGUCGGGACGUUUAUUGGGCCUAAAGCAUCCGUAGCCGGUUCUACAAGUCUUCCGUUAAAUCCACCUGCUUAACAGAUGGGCUGCGGAAGAUACUAUAGAGCUAGGAGGCGGGAGAGGCAAGCGGUACUCGAUGGGUAGGGUAAAUCGUUGAUCCAUUGAAGACCACCAGUGGCGAAGGCGGCUUGCCAGAACGCGCUCGACGGUGAGGGAUGAAAGCUGGGGGAG